rnacentral:rRNA from 1 species
AGAGUUUGAUCCUGGCUCAGGACGAACGCUGGCGGCGUGCCUAACACAUGCAAGUCGAGCGAGGGGAGUUCUUCGGAACAAACCUAGCGGCGGACGGGUGAGUAACACGUGGGUAACCUGCCUCAAAGAGGGGGAUAGCCUCCCGAAAGGGAGAUUAAUACCGCAUAAUCCAUUGUUUCCGCAUGGAGAUUAUGGUAAAGAUUUAUCGCUUUGAGAUGGACCCGCGGCGCAUUAGCUAGUUGGUGAGGUAAUGGCUCACCAAGGCGACGAUGCGUAGCCGACCUGAGAGGGUGAUCGGCCACAUUGGAACUGAGACACGGUCCAGACUCCUACGGGAGGCAGCAGUGGGGAAUAUUGCACAAUGGGCGCAAGCCUGAUGCAGCAACGCCGCGUGAGUGAUGAAGGUCUUCGGAUUGUAAAGCUCUGUCUUUUGGGACGAUAAUGACGGUACCAAAGGAGGAAGCCACGGCUAACUACGUGCCAGCAGCCGCGGUAAUACGUAGGUGGCAAGCGUUGUCCGGAUUUACUGGGCGUAAAGGGUGCGUAGGUGGAUAUUUAAGUCAGAUGUGAAACCCCUGGGCUCAACUCAGGGACUGCAUUUGAAACUGGAUAUCUGGAGUGCAGGAGAGGUAAGUGGAAUUCCUAGUGUAGCGGUGAAAUGCGUAGAGAUUAGGAAGAACACCAGUGGCGAAGGCGACUUACUGGACUGUAACUGACACUGAGGCACGAAAGCGUGGGUAGCAAACAGGAUUAGAUACCCUGGUAGUCCACGCCGUAAACGAUGAGUACUAGGUGUAGGGGGUAUCGACUCCCUCUGUGCCGCAGUUAACACAAUAAGUACUCCGCCUGGGAAGUACGAUCGCAAGAUUAAAACUCAAAGGAAUUGACGG